UCGGCAAUAGUUUAGUGGCUAGAAUUUCCGCCUGUCAUACGCGGGGGACCGGGGUUCAAUUCCCCGUUGCCGAG
rnacentral:tRNA from 1 species